rnacentral:rRNA from 1 species
UACGAAGGGGGCUAGCGUUGUUCGGAAUUACUGGGCGUAAAGCGCACGUAGGCGGACUACUAAGUCAGGGGUGAAAUCCCGGGGCUCAACCCCGGAACUGCCUUUGAUACUGAUAGUCUCGAGUCCGGAAGAGGUGAGUGGAAUUCCGAGUGUAGAGGUGAAAUUCGUAGAUAUUCGGAGGAACACCCGUGGCGAAAGCGGCUCUCUGGGACGGUACUGACGCUGAGACGCGGAAAGCGUGGGGAGCAAACAGGGAUUAAGAA